rnacentral:lncRNA from 1 species
AUGUCACAUGGAGUGCCUGAUGUCACAUGGAGUGGCUGGUGUCACACACAGUUGUUGGUGUCACACACAGUUUUUGGUGUCACACACAGUUCUUGGUGUCACACACAGUUUUUGGUGUCACACACAGUUGUUGGUGUCACACACAGUUCUUGGUGUCACACACAGUUCUUGGUGUCACACACAGCGGUUGGUGUCACACAGUUCUUGGUGUCACACAGUUUUUGGUGUCACACACAGUUCUUGGUGUCACACACAGUUCUUGGUGUCACACAGUUUUUGGUGUCACACACAGUUCUUGGUGUCACACACAGUUUUUGGUGUCACACACAGUUUUUGGUGUCACACACAGUUGUUGGUGUCACACAGUUGUUGGUGUCACACAGUUUUUGGUGUCACACACAGUUGUUGGUGUCACACAGUUGUUGGUGUCACACACAGCUGUUGGUGUCACACAGUUUUUGGUGUCACACACAGUUUUUGGUGUCACACACAGUUUUUGGUGUCACACACAGUGGUUGGUGUCACACACAGUUUUUGGUGUCACACACAGUGGUUGGUGUCACACACAGUUUUUGGUGUCACACACAGUGGUUGGUGUCACACACAGUUUUUGGUGUCACACAGUUUUUGGUGUCACACAAGUUUUUGGUGUCACACACAGUUUUUGGUGUCACACACGUUGUUGGUGUCACACACAGUGGUUGGUGUCACACACAGUUUUUGGUGUCACACAGUGGUUGGUGUCACACACAGUGGGGCUUUGCACCCGAGCCUUGCCAGUCUGUUCCAUUCUGUGCCGGCAGCCCCGGUGAGUGUCUCUGUCUCUCUCCCAGCAGUGUUUUGCAGCAGGCUGUGGUAGUGCACAUUCCUGGGCAGCCAGGCUGUGGGAGCACUUUUAGGGAUCUCAUUCCCGGGGCUCGUGCCCCUCUCCCGGCCGCUGGGGAAGCGCGGCGGCGGCGCGGUCAAGAGGCUCCGAGGAGCGCUCCUGGCGCGACAUUUCUCUCCACGAGAUUGCGGAUCAGACACUUAAUUCCUCGGGAAAAAAGCAGCUGA